ACCAAUGAUGAGUAUUCUGGGGUGUCUGAAUCAAUGAUUUUGAUUAAACCCUGUAACUCUGAGGUCCAUUAUAAGAGGAGACCUAGUUAAUACCUAUAUGGUAAAUGAUAUUAUAGUGGAAGUUAGAAUUAUUUGGGAUUUUGUUCUUAGGUGGUUGAAGUUCAUAGGUGUGGAUUGUAUUACUAGAAAAGAUUUAGUAAAUGAAAAAUGAAACAAAUAUGUAAAUAAAGGAAGACAAGUAGAGCCAUAUGUUGCCUAAUUAUGAGAAUGUAUAAUGUAUUUAUUAUUAUUAACACACUUCUGAAGCACUCAGUUUCAACAUAAAUUGAUUAAAUCUGAUACCUAUUUGGGUAAGGAAUAUACAUACAGAGACAAGUACCUAGAAAUCAGUAUUGUUUGUCCUGCAUUAUUUAGAUGUUGCUGUUUCUUAAUGAACACAAGAAAAUAUGAUCUAGUCUGGGAAUCAUGAGCAAAUGACAGGUGUUAACGCCAUUCAUAUUUCUGAUGCAAUCUGUAUGUUCACAGAUAUUGAUGAUGUCAUGAGUGAAUGUAUACACAGGAGUGAAUGUAUUCAGUUAUUUGAGGAAGAAUGAAAACCAUGUAGCUGGUCUUAUUAUUCUCUAAUCAUGAAGACCAUUAUUGUUAUUUGUGGACUAAGGAGCAGAAAGACUGAUAGUGGACAUAGGCCAGCUGAUUUAAUAAUUUAAGAAAGAACUGUUAUCCUGAGUAAGGAGCAUAGAGACAAAUAUAAAAUGAACGCACUCUACCUGAUUUAAUUAUAGUCUUCUGGUGAAGAUCUUGCUGUUAUCUCUGUGAAUCAGGAGAGAAGAGAUUGAUAAGGAAUAGACGAGAUUGGAUUUGGUCAUUUCCCCAAGGUGAAGAGCAUGGCGAUUUCUUCUGUGGUAAGGAGCAAUAAUGAAGACCAUGGUUGAUUUAAUCAGUCUCUGCUGAUGAAGAUCUUGGCUGUUACCUUUGUGUGUAAGGAAGCUAAAGACUUAAGUAAAUAACAGUCCAAAAACUUGUCAAUUAGGAAUGAAUGCGCAAUGAUUCAAUUAUUCUCCAGCGAGGAAGAUCAUGGUUGUUGUCUGUUUGAGUAAUGAGUGUAGAAACCUAUGUAAGUAACAAAGUGAUUGCUUUUGCUUUAGUGGUUGUU
rnacentral:lncRNA from 1 species